GUGUGGCUACAGCUGAAGACCUUGACUCUGCCUCUACACCCGGAGAGAGAGUUCUGUUUGACCGCUUGCGGUUCAGGGGCUGAGGAGCAUAUGAUCACAUCAGCAGUCCUGUCUAGCACCCGACCAACCGCUGUCACAUCUCCUCCUCCACAUCUUUCCAGAGAGCACUCAUCACCUCAUCUUAGGGCACCUCAUAUUGACUCAUCUUUCUGUGGGUGUCCAAAGCCAAGUCAUUUAAUUUUCAAUAUUUUUCCACAAUAUAUCCUCUCCUGUAGAGUAUUGCAAUGACUUUCAGUGUACACGUACAGUACAGUUAUAUAUGUGUGUGUCUGUAAAUGUAAAGAGCCUUGAUAAAUCUUGAGAAUAUUUUGAAUAGCGGUGGCUCUUGUGGAAUUGUGAUGAAAUGUUGCACCAGCCAUUUAAUAAGUCUGAUAAUAUAACCUUAAGUCGUGUAAAAUGCAUUAAUAAAGAAUGAGCUUAAUUUA